UUUUCUUUGAGUGAUCGCGGCAGUAAUGCUGAGGAAAGUCCAUACUCACACAAGCUGAGAUGCUUGUAGUGUUCAACGCUAAACGAAAAAAUAAGUUUAGGCACCUUAUGGUGACGGCAGAAAAUAUGACCUAAGUAGUUUUCUAUAUGGUUAUAUGUCUUGAAAGUGCCACAGUGACGGAGUUCUUAUAGAAAUAUAAGAAGUGGAACGCGGUAAACCCCUUGAGUGAGCAAUUCAAAUUUUGGUAGAAGCACUUAUUCCACAGAAAUGAAUGUAGGAAUAGGAAAUAUGUAUAUAUUUAGACAGAUGAUCACAGCUAUUUUUACGAGAGUAGACUAGUCUCGUUCGAGUAAGAUAGAUACAGAAUAUGGCUUAUGAUAAGAA
rnacentral:RNase_P_RNA from 1 species